AGCGAACGCUGGCGGCAGGCUUAACACAUGCAAGUCGAGCGGGCCCUUCGGGGUCAGCGGCGGACGGGUGAGUAACGCGUGGGAACGUGCCUUCUGGUCUGGAAUAACCCUGGGAAACUAGGGCUAAUACCGGAUACGCCCUUUUGGGGAAAGGUUUACUGCCGGAAGAUCGGCCCGCGUCUGAUUAGCUAGUUGGUGGGGUAACGGCCUACCAAGGCGACGAUCAGUAGCUGGUCUGAGAGGAUGAUCAGCCACACUGGGACUGAGGACACGGCCCAGACUCCUACGGGAGGCAGCAGUGGGGAAUAUUGGACAAUGGGCGCAAGCCUGAUCCAGCCAUGCCGCGUGAGUGAUGAAGGCCUUAGGGUUGUAAAGCUCUUUUAUCCGGGACGAUAAUGACGGUACCGGAGGAAUAAGCCCCGGCUAACUUCGUGCCAGCAGCCGCGGUAAUACGAAGGGGGCUAGCGUUGCUCGGAGAUCACUGGGCGUAAAGGGCGCGUAGGCGGCGUUUUAAGUCGGGGGUGAAAGCCUGUGGCUCAACCACAGAAUGGCCUUCGAUACUGGGACGCUUGAGUAUGGUAGAGGUUGGUGGAACUGCGAGUGUAGAGGUGAAAUUCGUAGAUAUUCGCAAGAACACCGGUGGCGAAGGCGGCCAACUGGACCAUUACUGACGCUGAGGCGCGAAAGCGUGGGG
rnacentral:rRNA from 1 species